rnacentral:rRNA from 1 species
CGCGAAUGGCUCAUUACAACAGCUGUGGUUCCUUAGAUCGUACAAUCCUACUUGGAUAACUGUGGCAAUUCUAGAGCUAAUACAUGCUUCCAACACUUCGUCCUUGCGGAUGGAGGGCUUUUAUUAGAACAGGACCAAACGGGUUCCCUUCGCGGACCCAGCAACUCUUGGUGACUCUGAAUAACUUUGGGCUGAUCGCAACGGUCUCGUACCGGCGACUUAUCUUUCAAGUGUCUGCCUUAUCAACUGUCGAUGGUAGGUUAUGCGCCUACCAUGGUUGUAACGGGUAACGGGGAAUCAGGGUUCGAUUCCGGAGAGGGAGCCUGAGAAACGGCUACCACAUCCAAGGAAGGCAGCAGGCGCGCAAAUUACCCACUCCCGGCACGGGGAGGUAGUGACGAAAAAUAACGAUACGGGACUCAUAUGAGGCCCCGUAAUCGGAAUGAGUACACUUUAAAUCCUUUAACGAGGAUCUAAUGGAGGGCAAGUCAGGUGCCAGCAGCCGCGGUAAUUCCUGCUCCAUAAGUAUACUCCAAAUUUGUUGCGGUUAAAAAGCUCGUAGUUGGAUCUUGGCUCGCGACGGUCGGAUCGUCAUCCUGGCGAAUCCCAGACCGAUCCGAGCAGAAAUCGCUGGUACGUCCGUCGGUGCUCUUCAUCGAGUGUCGGCGGAUGGCCGGUACGUUUACUUUGAAAAAAUUAGAGUGCUCAAAGCAGGCGAUGGUGCCGGAAUAAUAGUGCAUGGAAUAAUGGAAUAGGAUCUCGGUUCUAUUUUGUUGGUUCUCGGAACUCGAGAUAAUGAUUAAUAGGAACAGACGGGGGCAUUCGUAUUGCGACGUUAGAGGUGAAAUUCUUGGAUCGUCGCAAGACGGACUACUGCGAAAGCAUUUGCCAAGAAUGUUUUCAUUAAUCAAGAACGAAAGUUAGAGGUUCGAA